CAAUGCUUGUUUAGGUUAUUUGGAAGGGACCUUACUGGCAAUAUUGCUUUUAAUUAUUUUGUGUUAUAUAUAAAUCAAUACAUUUGCGUGGUUUUAUAAGGUUGAGCUGAGAUAGCGCAACAUAAUUUUAGCUCAACAUAACUUUAGCCCAUAAGGUGAUUAAAUAAAACUAAAAGAACAACACCUGUAUCCAACAUGCUUUUCUACAAAGUAUAAUUAGUUUGCGGUAAAAAAUGUUGAAACUGACGAACGACGUGUCACCCAAUUUUAAACGGGGAAUAAACACACAAAAACAAGUCAAAGUAACAAAUCAAAUAGGUCUGACAAAUUUCAUGUGCUCAGACAAAAUAUGUUAUAGCCAUCUUAAAUUAGAAUAAUACAGUAAUCUUCUAAUAAAUUAAGUAUUCAAUAUAUAUUCUUCUAAGCAAAUAUGCCCAAUCGAAUGUUAAGCGGCUGUGGAACAACUUAAAUCUAUGUAAAUCAAGCGUAACGGUGUAAACAAAUUAUGUACGUGUCCUUAUCGUAAUAAAUGUUUAAUAUUUAUACGAAAGCAAAUCCGACCUGUAAUUAAUUUUACCAUUCACCUCUUGUUUAAUAUUUUCAACAAGUCUACAUUUUAAUUGUUGAAUAAAGCUUUGAAUUAUAUUAACGAGAGCUAUGUAUUUGAGGGAUAACAAUUCGGUUGUUUAAGAGUUAAAUAUUGUUUAAGCGUCAAAUGAAUCCAAAACGUAUGUCGGAUUGUGUGUUUGUCAUGAAUAAUUAGAAGCUUCGAUAGGAAUACAAUUAUUGUAAUCGCUCUGUCAAGUAAAUCGAUUUCGUAAAUCGUGUUAUUGGUGACAGCGGUUAGCACACGAUACAAUCGUUUUAAAAAGUUUGAGUUCAAAUCGAUACAAUUAAACGGAUGAAAUAACAUACAACAAAAUAGUACAUCGUUUUUAUUUUAUUAUUAUAAGCAUCGGAUUCAAGAUUUCAAUGAGUGACAAGUUUUGUCUCCAACUGCAAAGGAGCGUGCAUUCUGACAUAUGUGAUUGCAGUCUUUGAAAACGAGCGCGUAACUUUACAGGCUUUACUGACCAAAUAUCUUAAAAUAGGAGCGAUUUUGAUAAAGAAAGCUAUAUGGCAACUGCCCUACUUGUAUCGGAUGUGGAUUGAUGCAUGGUGGUCCAGUGGUAACCCGCUUGACUAUCAAUUCAAAAGGUUCAAGAAUCAAAUCCCGGUACAGGCAGUGGGGUUUUCAGACACCGCUUCAGUGUUUCCCAUCAAACUAGAUCUGAAAUGCACUGCAGUUCACUUGGAAAGGUCGGAAACCAUUCCAUCCUAUACAAAACCUGGGUCCUUUGACUUCAAGUUUGGAAUGGCAUCCCAAAUCCUUAAGCCGAGGGACAAGCUGACUUUUGGACCCAAAGCACCUGAAAUUUCCCCAAAACUGAGGACAUUACAAGACAUCAUAACAAAAUCAUCAACAUUUGAAAAGGUCGACAUCAUUGCUAAAUGCAUCUAAAUUUCUUCACCUGUGCCAUUGUCCGAAAAAUUGACAAAGCUGAGCCUCCGUAUUGCGGACUCCACUGGAACAAUCCAAAUGGUUGUGUGGAAUAAUCAUAUAGAUAAGAUUGCAAUUGCAAGGUCUUACCUAAUGAUAAACAUUACUGUACGAGAAUUCAACAACGAAAAGACUCUAUCUUCAAAUCCGGAAUCAUC